GCUCCUGUAGCUCAGUUGGCAGAGCGCAUCCAUGGUAAGGAUGAGGUCGCAGGUUCGAUCCCUGUCGGGAGCA
rnacentral:tRNA from 2 species